rnacentral:rRNA from 1 species
UACAGAGGUGCCAAGCGUUAGGCGGAAUCACUGGGCUUAAAGCGCGUGUAGGCGGCCCGGUAAGUCCGCUGUGAAAGUCCAGGGCUCAACCCUGGGAUGCCGGUGGAUACUGUCGGGCUCGAGUCCGGAAGAGGCGAGUGGAAUUCCUGGUGUAGCGGUGAAAUGCGCAGAUAUCAGGAGGAACACCAAUGGCGAAGGCAGCUCGCUGGGACGUGACUGACGCUGAGACGCGAAAGCGUGGGGAGCAAACAGG